rnacentral:tRNA from 1 species
GAACAACAACCUUCGGGUCCUCCAACGACAACGACGUCGACGACGACGAGGAAAGA